AAGUCGUAACAAGGUUUCCGUAGGUGAACCUGCGGAAGGAUCAUUACAAAUCAAUGGGGAAACCCAAAAUAGUUCAAUGUAGCAAUACAUUGUGACUCUUAGCGCUUGUAUGUUUGACAGAGUAAAGUGAUUAUUUAUAUAAAGAGACAACUAUUAACAAUGGAUCUCUUGGCUCUU
rnacentral:misc_RNA from 1 species